AUGGCCGUCCAAGAUGCAUGUCCCUUAUGCGGCUGCGGGGACUCUUGGAGGCAUGCGCUACUUUCAUGUACCAUGUCACGCUGUAUUUGGGCUCUCUCAGACCAUCAACUUGUGGCUCAGAUGACUUCCAAUGAAGAAACGAACGCCAAGCACUGGAUGUUCGAGAUGCAUGCUACACUAAGCCAUGACCUGUUCACAAGAAUGGUGGUAACAUUGUGGUCAGUUUGGUACGUUCGGCGGAAAGCAAUACAUGAGGCAAUAUUUCAGAGCCUGGUACAAACCAUCGCCUUUGUGGACUCCUGCUUACAUGAGCUGCAACAUCUACAAAGGCCGAAUGUGAGGUCUUCUGGAGUCGGCCGAUCUCCUCGACCCACAGAGGAAAGAUGGCUCGCGCCGCCCCAAGACUGUAUGAAGAUGAAUGUUGAUGGUGCGGUCGCUCGUCACAGAAGAGGAGGAGCAGUUUCGGCAAUAUGUAGAGACAGUCAAGGACUUUACCUUGGGUCCUCAUCGAUGGUGUAUCCUGGUGUGACUGACCCGGUGAUGCUCGAGACAUUCGCCUGCAGGGAAGCUCUAUCACUUGCGGAGGAUCUUAAUCUGCAUAAGAUCACGGUGGCGGGUGACAGUCAGGGAGUGAUUGAUGACAUCAACAAUGGGACGGGAGGACCCCAUGCUGCUAUAGUACAUGAAAUAAUAGGUCGUAAAAGUGGUUUUCAGUUUUGUAAUUUCAUUCAUGAGCGUAGAAACUAUAACUUUGAGGCUCAUAAGCUCGCCAAGUUCUCUUGUAACCUGCAAUUAGGUAGACAUGUGUGGUUGGGAACUCCUCAUGACCUAACAGUUGUACCUAUGAACAUUGCUUUGGAAUAA
rnacentral:rRNA from 1 species